rnacentral:rRNA from 1 species
AUGCAGUUGCCUUGUUUACAAAUCUGUUUUGUCUCUGUUUUCUUUUCGGAUGAUGAGGAUGAGCCAGCCGAUCCUAACAUAAUUUUGGAGGAGCCGGACGACGAAGCCUCAAAAUCAGAUAAAGAUGUCUCCAACGCGACCGGACUUCCACUAGAUUUUUAUAGGGGUCAGAAUGUAGCGACCAGACCUCAAAUGGUCUGUGCUGCUGUGCACCAGUGUCAUCCCUGA